rnacentral:lncRNA from 1 species
UGGUAAUCUUCCAUACAGUGUGCCUUUGCCUAUGUUUUACCGAGCUAUCUGUCGCAAAACUAUAUUUUCCAUCUUCAGUAGAACAUUUUUUCAAAUCCGCUCAGUUUUAGAAUUGCAGAAUGCAAGCAAUGCAUGUUUGCAAACAUCUGAUGAGCAGUCCUUCAUUUCUUUGUUAUGACCUCUUUGCAGGUACUUGCAGUUGAACCUGAAGGACAGGAAGAGUGGCGACGAAAGAGACUACGUCUCUCUUAUCCUCGUGCUGUCAAAA